rnacentral:rRNA from 1 species
CUGCGAAUGGCUCAUUAAAUCAGUUAUCGUUUAUUUGAUAGUACCUUACUACUUGGAUAACCGUGGUAAUUCUAGAGCUAAUACAUGCUAAAAACCCCGACUUCGGGAGGGGUGUAUUUAUUAGAUAAAAAACCAAUGCCCUUCGGGGCUCUUUGGUGAUUCAUGAUAACUUCUCAGAUCGCAUGGCCUUGCGCCGGCGACGGUUCAUUCAAAUUUCUGCCCUAUCAACUUUCGAUGGUAAGGUAUUGGCUUACCAUGGUUUCAACGGGUAACGGGGAAUUAGGGUUCGAUUCCGGAGAGGGAGCCUGAGAAACGGCUACCACAUCCAAGGAAGGCAGCAGGCGCGCAAAUUACCCAAUCCCGACACGGGGAGGUAGUGACAAUAAAUACUGAUACAGGGCUCUUUUGGGUCUUGUAAUUGGAAUGAGUACAAUUUAAACCUCUUAACGAGGAACAAUUGGAGGGCAAGUCUGGUGCCAGCAGCCGCGGUAAUUCCAGCUCCAAUAGCGUAUAUUAAAGUUGUUGCAGUUAAAAAGCUCGUAGUUGAACCUUUGGCCUGGCUGGCAGGUCCGCCUCACCGCGUGCACUUGUCCGGCCGGGCCUUCUUUUCUGGAGAACCGCAUGCCCUUCACUGGGUGUGUUGGGGACCAGGACUUUUACUUUGAAAAAAUUAGAGUGUUCAAAGCAGGCCUUUGCUCGAAUACGUUAGCAUGGAAUAAUAGAAUAGGACGCGCGGUCCUAUUUUGUUGGUUUCUAGGACCGCCGUAAUGAUUAAUAGGGACAGUCGGGGGCAUCAGUAUUCAAUUGUCAGAGGUGAAAUUCUUGGAUUUAUUGAAGACUAACUACUGCGAAAGCAUUUGCCAAGGAUGUUUUCAUUAAUCAGUGAACGAAAGUUAGGGGAUCGAAGACGAUCAGAUACCGUCGUAGUCUUAACCAUAAACUAUGCCGACUAGGGAUCGGGCGGUGUUUCUAUUUUGACUCGCUCGGCACCUUACGAGAAAUCAAAGUG